AGGGAUGGAGGCCUUCGGGUUGUGAACCUCUUUCGCCAGUGAAGCAGGCCUGCCCCUGGUGGGUGGGUUGACGGUAGCUGGAUAAGAAGCGCCGGCUAACUACGUGCCAGCAGCCGCGGUAAUACGUAGGGCGCGAGCGUUGUCCGGAAUUAUUGGGCGUAAAGAGCUCGUAGGCGGCUGGUCGCGUCUGUCGUGAAAUCCUCUGGCUUAACUGGGGGCUUGCGGUGGGUACGGGCCGGCUUGAGUGCGGUAGGGGAGGCUGGAACUCCUGGUGUAGCGGUGGAAUGCGCAGAUAUCAGGAAGAACACCGGUGGCGAAGGCGGGUCUCUGGGCCGUUACUGACGCUGAGGAGCGAAAGCGUGGGGAGCGAACAGGAUUAGAUACCCUGGUAGUCCACGCCGUAAACGUUGGGCACUAGGUGUGGGGGGCCUUUUCCGGGUUUUCCGCGCCGUAGCUAACGCAUUAAGUGCCCCGCCUGG
rnacentral:rRNA from 1 species